UGCCAGCAGCCGCGGUAAUACGGAGGGGGUUAGCGUUGUUCGGAAUUACUGGGCGUAAAGCGCGCGUAGGCGGUUAUUUAAGCCAGAUGUGAAAUCCCCGGGCUCAACCUGGGAACUGCAUUUGGAACUGGGUAACUAGAAUGCAGCAGAGGAUAGUGGAAUUUCAGGUGUAGCGGUGAAAUGCGUAGAGAUCUGAAGGAACAUCAGUGGCGAAGGCGACUGUCUGGGCUGACAUUGACGCUGAGGUGCGAAAGCGUGGGUAGCAAACAGGAUUAGAUA
rnacentral:rRNA from 1 species